AUGAAAGAGUCUGCAUCAGAUUGAGUCGGUAGAAAGAGUUCAGAUCAGGAGACGCAGCAGUGGAGACUAACCUGCUCUAACUACCUGCUGCUAACUCCUCCUCCUCCUCCUCCUCCUCCUCUCCCAUUUCCUGUCGCUUCCCUUCAAACCUGAUCCAUGUUGGUUCAUCGUCAAACAAACAUGAGUCUGGUUUAACAGAGCAGAAAUGCAUCCUGGGAACUGUAGGUUCAGGCCGACAUUAAUAACGUCUGUAACAGGAAGCUGCGUCUGGAACAACUAAAGGUCAAAGGUCAUAAAUAACCAAACAGCUAAAGGUCAAAGGUCAUAAAUGACCGAACAGCUAAAGGGCAAAGGUCAUAACUAACCAAUCAGCUAAAGGUCAAAGGUCAUAACUAACCGGUCAGCUAAAGGUCAAAGGUCAUAGCUAACCGAUCAGCUAAAGGUCAAAGAUCAUAACUAACCAAUCAGCUAAAGGUCAAAGGUCAUAACUAACCAAUCAGCUAAAGGUCAAAGGUCAUAACUAACCAAUCAGCUAAAGGUCAAAGGUCAUAACUAACCAAUCAGCUAAAGGUCAAAGGUCAUAACUAACCAAUCAGCUAAAGGUCAUAACUAACAGAUCAGCUAAAGGUCAAAGGUCAUAACUAACCAUCACAGGGUCAACAUGAAACAUCCAGACUGAGUUUAACUUUGAGUCAGAUCUUCAUCGUCUCUAACAGCUGCUAGUUCUGACAGGAAGUUGAUUCUCUAACCUGUGUGUGUGUGUGUGUGUGUGUGUGUGUGUGUGUGUGUGU